GUAGGACCAGCGGCGUGAUCUUUCAUCACGUCAGUAGCGGCACCGGGUUAACAUUGCAUUUUGCCAAUAUGUUACACGACGAUAUGCAACCCAGGAUCCGUCACCUUCUUCUCCAGCAACUAAAGCAGACUUACAAGAAAUUCUAGCAGUUUUUGUAUCCUCAUCCGAUGAAAAAUUAAGAAAUACGAGAUCCGACUUCCUAAAGUUACACAACAAGGCUACAAAUUCUCUAGUGGAGAAGAUUAAGGACUCAACGAAAAGUAAAUGGCGCAGGGAAGGAAACCAGCGGCAGUUUCAGUUUAACCAGCAAGUAUCAAGCUAAGUUAUCGUCCAGUUUUUCCCCCUUUUUUUCAAGGAUGUUCUGAAAAAUCUUCUAUGCCAGCAUGGCACUGCUUUAACGUUCAAAUUGGGCGUGCAAAAAUUCGGGCGGGGCGUGGUGCCCCACCGGUGCCCAAAUACACUGACAGAACCCAAAAGUGUGAUCAUUGGUGUUUUAUUCUGUGUUAGGAUUAGUUUUAUGAAAUAAUAUUUAUGGGAGUAAUAAAUGUUCAUUUGAACGACCAGGUGUGAAUUAGAGCAUAUUUACUUUCUUCGCGGUGCGUGAUUUUUCUAUGGCUUAUUCAGUUGGAUGUUACGUAACAUAAGUAGGUUCGCUUAGGACCAGUGGCGUGAUCUUUCAUUCACGUUAGUAGCGGCACCGGGGUAACAUUGCAUUUUUAAAAAUAAAAUUGGUAGCAGGCAAAGAACGAAGUUCAAGCGUGACCAAGGGUCAGAGGUUGAUAGUAAUGAUGGUGGUAGUCAGUCUUUUCGUCGACCUGGUCAAGUCCUUCCCUUUGGUCAAACCUACGGCAGACCUUACGCAGGCGAAUCAUGCUUCAUAUGUGGCAGUUACGCCCACUGGAAGGCCACGUGUCCUAGGCGUAGUGCAGCCAGUACAGCCUCCACCUCCUCUGAUACACAAUAAAGUUAAGUCGACCACUGUGAGUAGUUCCGAUAAUCAAGCAGACCUGAAUGACUUUUCAAUAACGGAAUGUUUUUGUGAAUAUGAGGAAAACAAUGGAAUAUCCGCCAUCAGGGUUGCAGGUAGAUUGGUUAAUCAUAUCCGAUUUGGGGAAAAUAUUUCUGCACCUGAUUUCAUUAUCAAUACCAUAAAAUUUGGUUAUGUCAUUCCUUUUAUUCUUCAGCCUCCCUCUCUUUCCAAGAACAACAAAUCAGCUCCGUCUCACGUGCCGUUUGUAAACCAAGCUAUUACAGACUAGUCAAUUUGGGUAUCGUAGAAAGAUGUCCAAAACAACCCACAAUAGUGAGUCCACUUACAGUCUCGGCGCAGAAUACUGGGAAGAAGUGUCUCAUCCUAGAUUUAAGGUAAUAUUCAGUAAAGGAGUUUGGCAGCAGAGGCAGCGAGAGGGCAAUUCAGAAUUGCAGGAGCUGGCGUCACAGUUACCAACAGUCAUGCCAAGUGCAGGGGCCAGUUCUACUGUGCAUAGUCGGAUGCAUUUAUAAAAAUGGGAGGAUUGGGCAUCUAAACAAGGCAAGGAAUCACAUAUCAGCAAGUAGUGAAAGUCUGCGUCAGUGGAGCCCACAAUGUGACACUUCAUAACAGCAACACAGGAGAUGUCCCAGUCAAUGUGGAAAAGAAUUCGUGUGACAAAAAGUCACAAGAAAGUACCUUUCGAGCAGACAGUAUCAGCAGUCUAUCUCCAACAGCAAAGAGUUUGGCAAGUCCAUCCUGUUCACCAGGCACUCAAGAGCUGCGUACCCCGUCCAACAAAACAGACAGUGGGCCUAACCAAACAGAAAGAACAACCAAAAAGAGGCCACGAUCCAAUGAUAUUCGAAGCAACACGACUGCGAAGAAGAAAAUAAUAGACGCUGAUGUCAUAGUGAUCAGUGACAGUGAUGGUGACAAUGACCUGGACUCGCC
rnacentral:lncRNA from 1 species